UUCCCUGUGUUAAGAGUCGUGGUACUAGCGAAGCAAAUUAGUCCAGAUUAAUGCGCAAGUAGACAAGUAAAAAAAAAGGCAAAGCUACAACAAGUGGAACAAUUAAUCUUAGAUAACUUCCAAGAUGAGGAAUGAGGAAAACAAAAGUCAAAAUGCUGCAAAUGAUAGCAGUGAUGAUUCACAAGCCAAGAAAAUGGAGAAUACAGAAAAUAGCUUAGAUGAUUGGAAUAAGAGAUGGGCCGAUAACAGGAUUGGUUUUCAUAAUGAAGCUGUUAAUGCAAAUUUAGAGAAACAUUUUGAAAAGAUGCUAAAUGGUAGAGAGACUAUAACUGUAUUUAUACCUAUGUGUGGCAAAACUGUAGAUAUAAAAUG